rnacentral:rRNA from 1 species
UGGGGAAUAUUGCACAAUGGGCGAAAGCCUGAUGCAGCGACGCCGCGUGAGGGAUGACGGCCUUCGGGUUGUAAACCUCUUUCAGCAGGGACGAAGCGCAAGUGACGGUACCUGCAGAAGAAGCACCGGCUAACUACGUGCCAGCAGCCGCGGUAAUACGUAGGGUGCAAGCGUUGUCCGGAAUUACUGGGCGUAAAGAGUUCGUAGGCGGUUUGUCGCGUCGUUUGUGAAAAACAGCAGCUCAACUGCUGGCUUGCAGGCGAGACGGGCAGAAUUGAGUACUGCAGGGGGGACUGGAAGUCCUGGUGUAGCGGUGAAAUGCGCAGAUAUCAGGGGGAACACCGGUGGCGAAGGCGGGUCUCUGGGCAGUAACUGACGCUGAGGAACGAAAGCGUGGGUAGCGAACAGG